rnacentral:tRNA from 1 species
CAAAAAGUAGUUUAGUUGAAAAAUUCCAGCUUUGGGAGUUGGGGAUAAAGGUGCAAUUCCUUUCUUUUUGA